UACAUGUGGUGAGAUGUAUUGCGUUCAGUUGCGUCUCAUUUGAUUGAUUGCGUUCAUCAUCAGUACAUAAGCGGGCACCUGGUGGAUUGCAUGUAUGGUGUGAAGAACUGGCGAUAUUCAGGCACCAGAUCUUGUGUAGGGGGAAGUUGCAUCUCAGAUGAUUGGAAGCUAAUCGUGUAACGAUUCCGGUUCAUUUCUUACUAAGGAAUAAGUCGGUUGCAACUGUGAGGGGACCCCUUCGCAGAAUCCUAUCAUGUGACCAUGGUUGGAUCAAUCCAGCCCCAGCAAAAUUUUCUGAACGUAGGAAUGCUGUCGGCCCUCAAAUAGCGCAGCCACUGCAAAGGUAACAAACAUGGAGUUUGUAUUGUGUUUCCACCGAUGGUUAAUAUAAAUGGUUGUGAGGUUGAAUCUUCAUUUUAAUCAUUUAACUCCUGAAAUUCAUAUCCUAUUCUAUUGGUAAUGGCUUAGUUUGCAGAAGACGUCACUCUAAACACUGCAAAGAUGAAUUAAGCAAAUUAUUCAAAAUGGUGCAUGUAGGUGAAGUUGUAAGGUAGUUACAAGAAUCCUUCAUUAAUUAAUUAAAACGAUUGAAAAAUGAAAAGAUUAAUAUAAAUUAAUAUAUUUUUGUAAGGAAUUAUUUUAGGAAAAAAUACCAAAUCCAUGUCUGAUCAACACAACCAAAAUUCAUAGUAAAAUUAGCUUUAUUUAUUUGAUUA